rnacentral:lncRNA from 1 species
CGCGCCGACAUUUCUUCAUCCAUCCCUGCAUUCUUCUCCAGCGGAGAGUGAAAGUAAAGUUUAACCAACAACUUGAAAUGGGGCCCAGAUGCAGGGUCCAGACUUAGACCAAAUUGAAGUGUGCUGGAUUCAGAUAAGUUUAAUGUCCUGGGGUUUGCGGCUCGGCGCUUCGCUUUGCUCUCGGUGACAGCAGCUGUGGCGUCGCGUCAGCGCGCGGGGAGACAAGGUCACCGGGAUUCCAGGCUAAUAAAUGGUGUGAAGAUGGAACGGGCCGGUGGAGAGCGAGGCUGUGGAGCGAUUCGCCACAUACAUCAACUCCACUGAGCAGAAAAUUGAAAUGGAAAUCUGGGCCUUGAAUGAGUGCAGAUCCCAUUGUCCCCAGAAUGCAAUCUGAUGAUGUAUGAUAUCUUUUAAGGCGGCCGGUCCUGCUCGCCGCUUCAUUUUGAACCACAACUGGACAGACAGGACUGCUGCAGCAGUGAUAGCAGGUGGAGGUGUUAAUGGAAUAACUCCAUCUGUUGAGGAACACGGUGUCUGAACCAGCAGCUUCGGCUCCAUUAAGCAGAUCACUGAAGAAAAUCAACGAGCCACCGCAGGGAGAAGCAAACUAAUGGCCAAGGUAACUUCAUUAUGUAUGACAAACUCUGUGGUUCUCUUCAGAGAAGUGGAAUUAUCUUGAAUCCGGAUGUACUUUAUUCACCAUAAAUAGACAUCAAACCUUUAAAACCAAUAUCCGCCCAAUUAUUUCAAUAACACAUGGCAUGCUGUUGCAUUACCUGUGUCUGCAGAGGAGAAUAUGAUUCAUGUUGUUUCUGGAAAUUAGUCGGGGUUCCCACUCUUCAAUGACUGAUCCAAUUGUCAUGAUCAACUGGAAGCAUCAUGGAAAAGAUUUUCUAGAAAUCAUUUUGAGAUUGCUUUCUUAAAUAGCAAACUAAGCAGUUUUUCAAAGUUUGUCAGAGGUCAAGUAUUCAGUUCUAAAAAUAUAUAUCAUUGGGUCUGAAGAAUUAUCAAUAAAUAAAUCCAUGUCAAUUAUUUGGCAAAAGAUUAACCAUGAAUGAUUCAAUGAAGUGUUUUCUCUGCAGCUGUGGGGAGUCAGAGCUCAUGGUCACAUAAGCGUUUGGCCAUAUUUCUUUGAAGAAUCAGAAGUGCUAGCAAAGAGAAACCAACCAUUCGAAGAAAAUGAUCAAUGCUUUCUCCCAUGAAGUUAUGCAUUGGACAUACCUCAGCUUCACAAAAGGUGUGAGAAAUGCAAGGAAGGAAUAAAGUUUCAUAUUUCUCUGCAACCUUCAUUUUUUUUUUUUAUUCUAACACUGAAAAACCAAAUGUUGAGAAUUGUUAACUUUAAGGAAUGCAUCGAAGACAAAUUGGUAACAUCUAAAUCAAUAUCUAAGUUAUUAAUCAAGCCAAAACUAUUAUUUAACAUCGGUAAACUAAUCUAUAGACACUAAUUUAUAAUAUCAUGGAUUAAAUCCGGUAGAAAUAGUUUUUUAAGGUAGCUUAAAGUAACCAUUGUGUAAGAUUACAUUCCAACUACAUAUUUUAAAUCACUUUUUAAAAAGUUGUAUUUCUAUGUGUGUGUUAUAGACAUUUUUCUAUUCCAGUUGACUGACAUCCUGACAUAUAAUUUAGUUUUAUAUCUUGUUUCUUCUUAACUAGAGGAUUUACAACAUCUUUCUGUCAUCAUUUACUUCCCCGUCAUAGUGU